AGCUUUGCGCAGUGGCAGUAUUGUAGCCAAUGAGGCUUAUCCGAGGCAUGAUUAUUGCUAAUUGAAAACUUCCCAAUACCUCACCAUGGCAGUUUGAAAUAUAGUCCGUAUUGGCAAUUUUUGACAGUCUCUACAAAGA